CCCGGCCCCAGGUCGACCUCCGGACCUCGCGCUUGUCAGGCUAGUUCCAGGCGCCCGCCCCGGGACCCGAAGACCCAGUGGGGACAGGUCCGAACCGGGUCCGCAGCUGGGCUUGGGCCAGGCGCGCUGAAGGAAGAAUGCCAGCCCACCAAUGCAGACAGAAUGGGAGAGGUAGCAAGUGCCCAUCCUGCAGCCCUCGGGGAAACAGGCAGAUCGAGUAGAUUUAAUGCACACAGAGGUGGAGGUGUCCAGCGCUGGCGGGCCACACAGAGCUAACUGUGAAGGAAAACAUUCUUCAUUUUCAAUGGCGACACCUGGCUUCCAGCACCUUAAUGGGAUCAAGUAUGUAACGGGAUCAAGUAUAAGUGUGUAACAGGAGCCACGAUACUGGAUCAACCUGACAGCACCAUGCCGUGGAAUCCAGCACACAAUAGCACCGACGCUGCGCUCCUGCUAAAAACGCUUAAUUUGAAUCAGAGGCCAUGCGUGGAGCCUGCACUUCCCGCUUCCGGAUGAAGAGGGGGUAGAGCAGCCAGGCGACCCACACCGGGCAGAAGCAGUCCUGACAGUGGCCGUUCUAUAGUCGGUUGGCCAGGUCUCAAAAAAGUCAAUGUCAGAAAAAGGGUGAGAAUAGUACAAAAACAACUAAAACGAUGCAACAUUCGUAACAAGCAUGAGCCUGAUCGCGCCCGGGUCACUGACCAUGGUGAGAGACAAGCCGGAGGCCGUUCCAGGGUGACGGAGUAUGAAUGAUGUGACAGGCAUUGCUGAUGUUACAAGGUGUGACAGCACAGUGCUUCUCUGGAUAUUCCCGCUGAACUGCUGGAGGGUGAAAUGUGUUGAUGUUUAUAAAUUAUUCUGCAAAAUCAAUAUAUACACAUAAAGCUGAUCUGACAAAAUGUUAGCAAUCUGGGUGGUGGAUAUGGGGAGGAAGUUGUACAAUGUGUUCCCUUUCUUCGUAUGUUUAAAAAAAAUUCAUCAUAAAAAUUGGAGAAAACUAAAAUGUCCGGUGCUAAAUAACUUCAGUAUUUCUCCACCUCUGAACUUGGGCUAUCAACUCAAAUCUAGGCUUAUGGGAAUAAAAUAAAAAGAUAGUAUGAUUUA